rnacentral:rRNA from 1 species
GGAUAACCUACCCUUAGGACUGGGAUAACCUUGGGAAACUGAGGAUAAUACCGGAUGGGCAAUUAUUCCUGGAAUGGAUUUUUGUUUAAAUGUUUUUUCGCCUAAGGAUGGGUCUGCGGCCGAUUAGGUAGUUGGUUAGGUAACGGCUUACCAAGCCAUUGAUCGGUACGGGUUGUGAGAGCAAGAGCCCGGAGAUGGAACCUGAGACAAGGUUCCAGGCCCUACGGGGUGCAGCAGGCGCGAAACCUCCGCAAUGUGAGAAAUCGCGACGGGGGGAUCCCAAGUGCCAUUCUUAACGGGAUGGCUUUUCAUUAGUGUAAAGAGCUUUUGGAAUAAGGGCUGGGCAAGACCGGUGCCAGCCGCCGCGGUAACACCGGCAGCUCUAGUGGUAGCAGUUUUUAUUGGGCCUAAAGCGUCCGUAGCCGGUUUAAUAAGUCUCUGGUGAAAUCCUGUAGCUUAACUGUGGGAAUUGCUGGAGAUACUAUUAGACUUGAGACCGGGAGAGGUUAGAGGUACUCCCAGGGUAGAGGUGAAAUUCUGUAAUCCUGGGAGGACCGCCUGUUGCGAAGGCGUCUAACUGGAACGGUUCUGACGGUGAGGGACGAAAGUUAGGGGCGCGAACCGGAUUAGAUACCCGGGUAGUCCUAACUGUAAACGAUGCGGACUUGGUGUUGGGGUGGCUUUGAGCUGCUCCAGUGCCGAAAGGGAAGCUGUUAAGUCCGCCGCCUGGGAAG